UUGUGCUGGGGCUGCGGGUGCUGGGCUGUCAGCAGCAAGUCCCCCUGGUGCCAGGGACCCAGGACAAUGAGGGAGGAGGGGAGAGGCUGGGGCCGGCCCCCUGCUGUGCCCCCGAACCGGAAUUCUGCAUUCUAGCUAACAUUUAUUAAGUCUCGCACCUGCCGGCCUCUAGCUCAGCUCUUUACGAGCAGCGCCUCAUUCAGUGUUGCAGACGGUCCCACAUCGUAGGUCCCCCGAUGUACAGGUGAGGUAACUGAGGCUCCGAGAGGUUAAGUCACUUGCCAAAGCUCGUACAGCAAAUAAUAGUGGCAGAGUUGGCAUCUGAACCCAGAAAAUGUGACUCCGGAACCUGAAGGCCCAACUGCUGUGCCAGACAGGCGGUGUCACAACGUGCCUGGGUUGUGACAUCAAGUGUCAGAGCAGACAGAGAGGACAGCAUUUCUCCUGCACAGCCUUUCCCUCUCUUCCAUCCUCUGAAGAUAACAGCUCCCCUUUUUGACCCCUGAAUAUGUACCAGGCACUGUGAUGGGCAAAUGACACUUCCUACCUCUGUUAGCUCUCACAACAGUCUCUGUGAGGCAGGGGCUGGUGUUCCCAUGUUGCGGAUGAGGAAACUGAGGCUCAGGAACCACUGGUUGUCAGAGCUGGCCUGAAACCUUGGUCCUUGGAUUCCGUGCCCUGAGCUCUUUCCAUGUGCCCCCUUCUCCCACUAUCUGAAAGGGGCCUUAUAGACGGCGGGGUGGGAGGGUGACCACCUGUGUGAUAUGGGCCCAUUGCACCAAAAGAUUUUUGUCUUGGGGAAAAUACUCCCUCCGCACAGUGCCCACUGGAUGAAGGCAUGGAAUUUCUUUUACCGGAGGCAAAGCUUUGCAUGUCAGAGUGACGUGAAGGGACGGGGACAGAAUCCCCAAGGGAGAGGGGGUCUGAUGUCACAGCAAGGUGUGAGUGACCCUUUGGAGGCCUCUGGGCUCUGUCUGGGGAGCUCAACUGGAUCUGCUGGGGAGGGGUGGGGCCCCCUCUGCAGACAGCAAACUUGCCUGCCUGAGGCUCACCCUAAUAUCCUCCAGCACAUCUCCUGGGAGUUUCCCUCCGCCGUCAUUAAAUUAUUAACCGGCGUGUCUUGAGCUGUCCAACUCCUCACCAGAACAGUUGUCCCUCCAAGGAGUCCGUUCCACCUUCAAGUAUGAAACAAAGGUGGAUGAUCCGGUGCUCAGUUCCACUCGCAGUCCACUCUCAGCCUUCCUUCCUUCCCCCUCCCCUGGAGGAGAGGAGAUCAAAGCUGCAUCAACCCUUUCGCUCUUUGUUCUGACGUGGUGGGAGGUCACGGGGAGGGUAAGUUUGGGGGCUCGAAUGCUCUGUGUCCAGAAAAGGUCUGUCCUCUUUGGAGCGACCCUGGACUAACACGGCAGCCGUGGGGCUCGCAUGCGCCCCUCUGAGGGGUCGGUGACCCCGGGUCCUCGCUCCGCCCAGUCCUCCCCUGUGAUCUCAGGAAAUGGAGACAGAGUCAGGAAGAGGCGGAUGGACGCACUGCAGCCCCCUGUCCCCACCUGCCAAGCGGAUACACGCCACCCAGAAUCCCAAAUACAGAUUUUUAAACAAA